rnacentral:rRNA from 1 species
GACGAACGCUGGCGGCGUGCUUAACACAUGCAAGUCGAACGGAAAGGCCCUGCUUUUGUGGGGUGCUCGAGUGGCGAACGGGUGAGUAACACGUGAGUAACCUGCCCUUGACUUUGGGAUAACUUCAGGAAACUGGGGCUAAUACCGGAUAGGAGCUCCUGCUGCAUGGUGGGGGUUGGAAAGUUUCGGCGGGUGGGGUUGGACUCGCGGCUUAUCAGCUUGUUGGUGGGGUAGUGGCUUACCCAGGCUUUGACGGAUAGCCGGCCUGAGAGGGUGGCCGGCGACAAUGGGAAUGAGAUUACGGCCGGAAGCCGUGGGGAGGCAGGAAUGGGGAAUAGUGGACCAAGGGCGGGAGGCUGAUGGAGGAACGACGGGUGCGGGGUGGUGGCCUUCGGGUUGUAAACCGCUUGCGCCUGGGAUGGAGGGGGGGUGACGGUAAUGGGUAAAGAAGCACCGGCUAACUACGUG